GGAAUUAUUGGGCGUAAAGAGCUNGUAGGCGGUUUGUCGCGUNUGCUGUGAAAUCCGGAGGCUCAACCUCCGGCCUGCAGUGGGUACGGGCAGACUAGAGUGCGGUAGGGGAGAUUGGAAUUCCUGGUGUAGCGGUGGAAUGCGCAGAUAUCAGGAGGAACACCGAUGGCGAAGGCAGAUCUCUGGGCCGUAACUGACGCUGAGGAGCGAAAGGGUGGGGAGCAAACAGGCUUAGAUACCCUGGUAGUCCACCCCGUAAACGUUGGGAACUAGUUGUGGGGUCCAUUCCACGGAUUCCGUGACGCAGCUAACGCAUUAAGUUCCCCGCCUGGGGAGUACGGCCGCAAGGCUAAAACUCAAAGGAAUUGACGGGGACCCGCACAAGCGGCGGAGCAUGCGGAUUAAUUCGAUGCAACGCGAAGAACCUUACCAAGGCUUGACAUAUACGAGAACGGGCCAGAAAUGGUCAACUCUUUGGACACUCGUAAACAGGUGGUGCAUGGUUGUCGUCAGCUCGUGUCGUGAGAUGUUGGGUUAAGUCCCGCAACGAGCGCAACCCUCGUUCUAUGUUGCCAGCACGUAAUGGUGGGAACUCAUGGGAUACUGCCGGGGUCAACUCGGAGGAAGGUGGGGAUGACGUCAAAUCAUCAUGCCCCUUAUGUCUUGGGCUUCACGCAUGCUACAAUGGCCGGUACAAAGGGCUGCAAUACCGCGAGGUGGAGCGAAUCCCAAAAAGCCGGUCCCAGUUCGGAUUGAGGUCUGCAACUCGACCUCAUGAAGUCGGAGUCGCUAGUAAUCGCAGAUCAGCAACGCUGCGGUGAAUACGUUCCCGGGUCUUGUACACACCGCCCGUCAAGUCAUGAAAGUCGGUAACACCUGAAGCCGGUGGCCUAACCCUUG
rnacentral:rRNA from 1 species